AGAGUUUGAUCCUGGCUCAGAUUGAACGCUGGCGGCAUGCCUUACACAUGCAAGUCGAACGGUAACAGGGAGCUUGCUCCGCUGACGAGUGGCGAACGGGUGAGUAAAGUAUCGGAACGUACCUUUCAGUGGGGGAUAACGUAGCGAAAGUUACGCUAAUACCGCAUAUUCUGUGAGCAGGAAAGCAGGGGAUCGCAAGACCUUGCGCUGAUUGAGCGGCCGAUAUCAGAUUAGCUAGUUGGUGAGGUAAAGGCUCACCAAGGCGACAAUCUGUAGCGGGUCUGAGAGGAUGAUCCGCCACACUGGAACUGAGACACGGUCCAGACUCCUACGGGAGGCAGCAGUGGGGAAUUUUGGACAAUGGGGGCAACCCUGAUCCAGCCAUGCCGCGUGAGUGAAGAAGGCCUUCGGGUUGUAAAGCUCUUUCGGCCGGGAAGAAAUCGCAUGGGUUAAUACCCUGUGCGGAUGACGGUACCGGCAUAAGAAGCACCGGCUAACUACGUGCCAGCAGCCGCGGUAAUACGUAGGGUGCGAGCGUUAAUCGGAAUUACUGGGCGUAAAGCGUGCGCAGGCGGUUUUGUAAGACAGGCGUGAAAUCCCCGGGCUCAACCUGGGAACUGCGCUUGUGACUGCAAGGCUAGAGUAUGGCAGAGGGGGGUGGAAUUCCACGUGUAGCAGUGAAAUGCGUAGAGAUGUGGAGGAACACCAAUGGCGAAGGCAGCCCCCUGGGCCAAUACUGACGCUCAUGCACGAAAGCGUGGGUAGCAAACAGGAUUAGAUACCCUGGUAGUCCACGCCCUAAACGAUGUCAACUAGGUGUUGGGUGGGUAAAACCAUUUAGUACCGGAGCUAACGCGUGAAGUUGACCGCCUGGGGAGUACGGCCGCAAGGUUAAAACUCAAAGGAAUUGACGG
rnacentral:rRNA from 1 species